GCUAAUAAUGCAAGUCGAGCGAACAGAUAAGGAGCUUGCUCCUUUGACGUUAGCGGCGGACGGGUGAGUAACACGUGGGUAACCUACCUAUAAGACUGGGAUAACUUCGGGAAACCGGAGCUAAUACCGGAUAAUAUUUCGAACCGCAUGGUUCGAUAGUGAAAGAUGGUUUUGCUAUCACUUAUAGAUGGACCCGCGCCGUAUUAGCUAGUUGGUAAGGUAACGGCUUACCAAGGCGACGAUACGUAGCCGACCUGAGAGGGUGAUCGGCCACACUGGAACUGAGACACGGUCCAGACUCCUACGGGAGGCAGCAGUAGGGAAUCUUCCGCAAUGGGCGAAAGCCUGACGGAGCAACGCCGCGUGAGUGAUGAAGGUCUUCGGAUCGUAAAACUCUGUUAUUAGGGAAGAACAUACGUGUAAGUAACUGUGCACGUCUUGACGGUACCUAAUCAGAAAGCCACGGCUAACUACGUGCCAGCAGCCGCGGUAAUACGUAGGUGGCAAGCGUUAUCCGGAAUUAUUGGGCGUAAAGCGCGCGUAGGCGGUUUUUUAAGUCUGAUGUGAAAGCCCACGGCUCAACCGUGGAGGGUCAUUGGAAACUGGAAAACUUGAGUGCAGAAGAGGAAAGUGGAAUUCCAUGUGUAGCGGUGAAAUGCGCAGAGAUAUGGAGGAACACCAGUGGCGAAGGCGACUUUCUGGUCUGUAACUGACGCUGAUGUGCGAAAGCGUGGGGAUCAAACAGGAUUAGAUACCCUGGUAGUCCACGCCGUAAACGAUGAGUGCUAAGUGUUAGGGGG
rnacentral:rRNA from 1 species